GAGAAACUAUCAAAUCUAUGUAUUGAGGUUCAAAAAUAUAUAGAAAUAGUCUGCACAACAGUGCCAAAGACACUUAAGUGAGGUUUAGAUAAUGGUUGGUAAGCUACAAAAAACAGAUUUAACUUUGAAUGGAUAUUUGGCAUUAGCUUAACAUGAAAUUGUUGCAAUUUGUGGCCAUUUUUGAAACUUAUGCAGAACUAGUGUUAUUUUUCAAAUCAAAGGAAUUUUAUA
rnacentral:misc_RNA from 1 species